GAUGAACGCUGGCGGCGUGCCUAAUACAUGCAAGUCGAGCGAACAGACGAGGAGCUUGCUCCUCUGACGUUAGCGGCGGACGGGUGAGUAACACGUGGAUAACCUACCUAUAAGACUGGGAUAACUUCGGGAAACCGGAGCUAAUACCGGAUAAUAUAUUGAACCGCAUGGUUCAAUAGUGAAAGACGGUUUUGCUGUCACUUAUAGAUGGAUCCGCGCCGCAUUAGCUAGUUGGUAAGGUAACGGCUUACCAAGGCAACGAUGCGUAGCCGACCUGAGAGGGUGAUCGGCCACACUGGAACUGUGACACGGUCCAGACUCCUACGGGAGGCAGCAGUAGGGAAUCUUCCGCAAUGGGCGAAAGCCUGACGGAGCAACGCCGCUUGAGUGAUGAAGGUCUUCGGAUCGUAAAACUCUGUUAUUAGGGAAGAACAAAUGUGUAAGUAACUAUGCACGUCUUGACGGUACCUAAUCAGAAAGCCACGGCUAACUACGUG
rnacentral:rRNA from 1 species